rnacentral:lncRNA from 1 species
AUAUAUAAAAUAUAAAAAAUAUAUUCUUUAGGUAUAUCAAUGUUAAAGAGAUUACUGGAUCGUUCUUUGUAUAAACAAAACGAACAAAAUAAUUAUGAUCAGAAUUAUGUAACCAAAUUAAAACGAAAUUAUCGAAGUCACGAGUGUAUAUUACAUGUAUCUAAUCAAGAAUUUUAUGGAAACGAAUUAAUUGCUUGUGGAAAUGCAGAAACUGUUAAUAGAGCAAUUGGAUGGUCAACAUUACCUAACAAAAAUUUUCCUAUAAUAUUUCAUUCGUCCGAUGGUAGAGAUAUAAAAGCAAAAUAUUCGUACAGCAUUUAUAAUCUUGAAGAAAUAUCUAUAAUAAUGAAGUAUUUACAAUUAUUAAUGGGUAAAAAGAUUGGAGGUUUAAAAAUUUAGCAAAAACAUAUAGGCAUUGUAUCUCCGUUUAAACGACAAAAAAUCGAGAUAGUUAAGAGAUUGAAACAGAAAAAUUGGCAGUCUAUAACUGUUGGUACCGUAGAAACGUUUCAGGGAUGUGAAAAAGAAAUCAUUAUUUGGACUACUGUACGAUCUCGUAUAUUAAAGCACGAUGGAAUAGAAAAUAUUGGAUUUUUAUCCGACGAAAAGAGAUUCAAUGUUGCUUUAACUCGAGCAAAGUGUCUUCUUAUCGUAAUAGGCAAUCCAAUUGUUUUAGAGACAGAUAAACAUUGGAAAAUAUUAAUAGAAUAUUGCAGAGAAAAUAAGGCUUUCAUUGAAAGUCCUUCCGUAUUAAAAGAAAAAUCUCGGAGAAAGAGAAAAUACA